rnacentral:tRNA from 1 species
GGCGCUGUAGCCAAGUGGUUACGGCGACAGAUUAGAAUAACAAACUGGACAUUAUGUAAUCUGUUCCUCUUUGAGGGCGCAGGUUCGAAUCCUGCCGGCGUCG